AACGCACAUUGCGCCCGCUAGUAUUCUGGCGGGCAUGCCUGUCUGAGCGUCAUUUCACCACUCGUCACCAGCUUGCUGGAGGCGGCGUUGGGGAUCAGCCUCCCGCACCGGGUCGCUGUCCCCUAAAUGAAGUGGCGGUCGCGCUGUGACCUCCUCCGCGUAGUAAUUGCUCUCGCGGGCGGAUAGCAGGGUGGCCACGCCGUAAAACCCCAACUUUUAAUGGUUGACCUCAGAUCAGGUAGGAAUACCCGCUGAACUUAA
rnacentral:misc_RNA from 1 species